rnacentral:rRNA from 1 species
UACGUAGGGGGCAAGCGUUGUCCGGAAUCAUUGGGCGUAAAGCGCGUGUAGGCGGCCAGAAAAGUCCGCUGUGAAAACUCGAGGCUCAACUUCGAGCUGUCGGUGGAAACUUUCUGGCUAGAGUCCGGAAGAGGAGAAUGGAAUUCCUGGUGUAGCGGUGAAAUGCGUAGAUAUCAGGAGGAACACCGGUGGCGAAAGCGCUCAUCUGGCCCGAUACUGACGCUGAAGCACGAAAGCUAGGGGAGCAAACGGG